CCUACGGGAGGCAGCAGUGGGGAAUUUUGGACAAUGGGCGAAAGCCUGAUCCAGCAAUGCCGCGUGAGUGAAGAAGGCCUUCGGGUUGUAAAGCUCUUUUGUCAGGGAAGAAACGGUGGGAGCUAAUAUCUCUUGCUAAUGACGGUACCUGAAGAAUAAGCACCGGCUAACUACGUGCCAGCAGCCGCGGUAAUACGUAGGGUGCAAGCGUUAAUCGGAAUUACUGGGCGUAAAGCGUGCGCAGGCGGUUUUGUAAGUCUGAUGUGAAAUCCCCGGGCUCAACCUGGGAAUUGCAUUGGAGACUGCAAGGCUAGAAUCUGGCAGAGGGGGGUAGAAUUCCACGUGUAGCAGUGAAAUGCGUAGAUAUGUGGAGGAACACCGAUGGCGAAGGCAGCCCCCUGGGUCAAGAUUGACGCUCAUGCACGAAAGCGUGGGGAGCAAACAGGAUUAGAUACCCUGGUAGUCCACGCCCUAAACGAUGUCUACUAGUUGUCGGGUCUUAAUUGACUUGGUAACGCAGCUAACGCGUGAAGUAGACCGCCUGGGGNGUACGGUCGCAAGAUUAAAACUUAAGGAAUUGACGG
rnacentral:rRNA from 1 species